rnacentral:lncRNA from 1 species
AGAUGAAGCUAGCCUUCUCAGCUAGCCUUCAGAUUUGUCUGCUAACAGUAAAAAUACUAUAAUAAAUCGGUAACAUAUGUUGCCAGGCAAGGAAAAGUGAUAUAAAUAAAGAGACUGGGAGACCCAAACCAAGUACAAUGUGAAAAGAAUUUAAAUUUCAAUCUAUUUGCUGGCUAAUUACCAUUUGAAAAGUAAUUUGAAAGUUUUACUGUUAUUUGCUGAUAUUCUUCCUCAUUUUUCUUUUUUUCCUCUUCAGAUUGCAUUCUUACCCAAAUACUCUUCGUGAUUGCCUGCUUUGCGGCUUUGGGCAAUGAAGACUUUCUCCAGAUUUGAUGGUGAACAGGCCUAAUCCUGAAGACAGACUUUUUGGGU